rnacentral:rRNA from 1 species
CAUGUCUUUUUGAUUUAAAUAUAAAGUCUAAUCUGCUCAAUGAUAAUUAAAUUGCCGCAGUAUUUUAACUGUGCAAAGGUAGCAUAAUAAUUAGCUUUUUAAUUAGAAGCUGGAAUGAAUGAUUGGACGAAAAUAUAACUGUCUCUUUCUAAAUUAUUAUUGAAUUUUAUUUUUAAGUUAAAAAGCUUAAAUUUUUAUAAAAGACGAGAAGACCCUAUAGAGUUUAAUAUUAAUAUGUUAUUAAUUUUUAGAAAUUUUUUUUAUUUUUUAAUAUUUAGUUGGGGUGACUUAUAGAUUUACUAAAUUCUAUAAAAUUUAAAUUGAUGAUAAUUAAUUUUAUAAUCUAAAAAUUUUAAAUUUAAAAUAAAUUACCUUAGGGAUAACAGCGUAAUUUUUCUUAAAAGUUCAUAUUGAAAGAAAAGUUUGCGACCUCGAUGUUGGAUUAAAAUAAAUUUUUGGUGCAGUAACUUAAAAAUUUGGUCUGUUCGACCUUUAAUAUUUUACAUGAUCUGAGUUUAAACCGGUGUAAGCCAGGUUGGAUUCUAUCUUUAGAUUUUUAAUAUAUUUUAGUACGAAAGGACCAAAUAUAUAUUAUAUUAAUUG